UACGUAGGGUGCGAGCGUUAAUCGGAAUUACUGGGCGUAAAGCGUGCGCAGGCGGUUGUGCAAGACAGAUGUGAAAUCCCCGGGCUUAACCUGGGAACUGCAUUUGUGACUGCACGGCUAGAGUGUGUCAGAGGGGGGUAGAAUUCCACGUGUAGCAGUGAAAUGCGUAGAUAUGUGGAGGAAUACCGAUGGCGAAAGGCAGCCCCCCCUGGGGAUAACACUGACGCUCAUGCACGAAAAGCGUGGGGGAGCAAAACAGGG
rnacentral:rRNA from 1 species